rnacentral:rRNA from 1 species
CCUGGCUUCAGGAUGAACGCUAGCUACAGGCUUAACACAUGCAAGUCGAGGGGAACGACAUCGAAAGCUUGCUUUUGAUGGGCGUCGACCGGCGCACGGGUGAGUAACGCGUAUCCAACCUGCCCACCACUUGGGGAUAACCUUGCGAAAGUAAGACUAAUACCCAAUGAUAUCCCACGAAGGCAUCCGAAUGGGAUUAAAGAUUUAUCGGUGAUGGAUGGGGAUGCGUCUGAUUAGCUUGUUGGCGGGGUAACGGCCCACCAAGGCUACGAUCAGUAGGGGUUCUGAGAGGAAGGUCCCCCACAUUGGAACUGAGACACGGUCCAAACUCCUACGGGAGGCAGCAGUGAGGAAUAUUGGUCAAUGGGCGGAAGUCUGAACCAGCCAAGUAGCGUGCAGGAUGACGGCCCUAUGGGUUGUAAACUGCUUUUAUGUGGGAAUAAAGUGAGGGACGUGUCCCUUUUUGUAGGUACCACAUGAAUAAGGACCGGCUAAUUCCGUG